rnacentral:lncRNA from 1 species
GCUAUGCUUUAAAAUCCUUCUUUCUCAUUUUUCAUUCUUCAACUCAAUGCUUCAACAAAACAUUUAGAAUUUCAGAGUACAUGUACCUGUGAAUAAAAAGGCAAAGGGAAGAGUAAGAGACUAGCAAUAUUAAGUACAUAAUCAUCACUAGUGACAGAACAACCCAGAUUCAACCCAAACCCAAAAAUGAAAUCGAACUAGAAGGAAUAAACCAAUCCAAAAACCUAACCAGAUCUUUCAAUACCCUGAUUUAAAACAUUUUUAACCUCAAAUAGAACUAGCUGUUGUUCAGAAAAUGAAAGAAAGUUCAAAUUUCAGAGAGAUUCCAAUAGAAUAGUAGAAAUUUAAGCCGCCUAUAUUUCUCUAUUUUCUUUGAAAGGCACGAAUAAGCUGCUUUUAUGGGCAAGCAACUAGGGUAAUCAAUCAGAUUUCAGUUUUGCCUUUUAGUUUCUUUUGAAUUUCAUUUUUAUGUAACAAUUCCUCAAAUUUUGGCUUGCUAACCAAGAAAGGCUAUUUCUUUAGCUUUCUAGAAGCUUCUUUGAUCAGUUGGCAUAAGAUUACUCUAUAAAAUUACCCCAAAAUACCCCCCAAAUGAACCUUAAUUACUUCUGAAUUUCACCUUCAGUAAAACAAAUGGACAUGGGUCAAUUUGACCCAACGAUCCAACCCCAAACAUGCGAUUGCAUUAGUGAGCUUACUAGCACUUGGGCCUCUGAUCCUCGAAGACCAAAUUGUGGUUCGAAUGACCAUGGAUCACAAAUGGGUAAGCCCAGAGUCAGGCAUCAAAAGAAGAUAAUUGGCCACAAACAAAAGAAGGGCCAGCGAGGCUAACAAGCAUACAUGAAACUAAGAAAGCAGAAGAAAAACAUUGACUACCCUAAUAUGCUAAGAAAAUACUAAUGACCUAGAUCUAAACAUGCAAUCAACCAACUAAUGACUAAAGAAGAGGGAUUAAUCCUUGGGAACAAACAAACAAAACAGAAGAAAAAUAACGAAAGAAUGAAAAUAGGAGAUGACAGCUAACCGGAACAAGGAUGAGAGGCCAUGAAAUCCAAACGAAUAAACCGUACCCGGGAGCCGGCCAGCGUAGUUGAGCCUCUAAAAAUCAAACCAAAAUUCAAACUAGCCAGAGCUUCCAACAAGAAAAUUAACCACCACGAAUCCUGGUUCAUAUUUGAACUCUGAAGGUCAUAGAGUCUUGAACUUUGGUAUGAGAUUCGAAGAGUUUGGUUAGGAUUCCAAGGCAAUAAAUUUAGAAUUUGCGAUGAGGGGGCGAGGAGGGUUCUGGGGUGUAGUUUUGAGACCAUUACGAGAUGGCACCGCCGGCGGGUAAAAAGGGCGGCGGGUUAGGGUUCAUGAUAUGAAGGAGAUGAAG